rnacentral:rRNA from 1 species
UAGGUGUAAGGGGCGAACGCGGAGAACUGAAACAUCUAAGUACCCGCAGGAAAAGAAAUCAACCGAGAUUCCCAAAGUAGCGGCGAGCGAAAUGGGAUUAGCCCUUAAGUUACAGUGGAUUUAGCAGAACGCUCUGGAAAGUGCGGCAAUAGAGGGUGAUAGCCCCGUAUGCGAAAGGUCCAUUGUAGUGAAAUCGAGUAGGUCGGGACACGUGAAAUCCUGACUGAACAUGGGGGGACCAUCCUCCAAGGCUAAAUACUCCUAGCUGACCGAUAGUGAACUAGUACCGUGAGGGAAAGGCGAAAAGAACCCCGGUGAGGGGAGUGAAAUAGAUCCUGAAACCGCGUACGUACAAGCAGUAGGAGCCUCUUUUAUGGGGUGACUGCGUACCUUUUGUAUAAUGGGUCAGCGAGUUAUUGUCAGUAGCAAGGUUAACCGUUUAGGGGAGCCGUAGGGAAACCGAGUCUUAAUAGGGCGUUUUAGUUGCUGGUAAUAGACCCGAAACCGGGCGAUCUAGCCAUGGCCAGGUUGAAGGUGCCGUAACAGGCACUGGAGGACCGAACCCACCUAUGUUGAAAAAUGGGGGGAUGAGCUGUGGCUCGGAGUGAAAGGCUAAUCAAGCCCGGAGAUAGCUGGUUCUCCUCGAAAACUAUUUAGGUAGUGCCUCGCGUUUGACUGCUGGGGGUAGAGCACUGUGUCGGCUAGGGGGUCAUCCCGACUUACCAACCCGAUGCAAACUCCGAAUACCAGUAAGUAUUAUCGCGGGAGACAGACAGCGGGUGCUAACGUCCGUUGU